GCGAGGGUACCAAAGUCUGGUCAAAUGGGCGGGACUUAAGAUCCCGUGGGUUAGUCCCUUCACCGGUUCGAAUCCGGUCCCUCGCA
rnacentral:tRNA from 1 species